GUGGAGACAGUCAGAGAAGGGGGCUCCCGGGGCCCUCCCCAGGGAACUGGCCCUGGGCCCAGACCAGAUGGAGGACCCCGAAAAGAACAGGGCAGCUGUGAGCCGUGAGCUUUGAGGCGGUGGGAUGUGUCAGCAGAAUGUCUCCUGCCCCCGAGAGCGACCCCGAGGCCACUGAGAAGAGCAGCGCGGCCUGGCCGGCCCGAACGCCUGCGUCUCAGUAGCUGGGAGCCACGGGCCCACGCCCGCCCA
rnacentral:lncRNA from 1 species